UCACCGUUUGCACGGGCAGUUUCGUUAGAGUUCCCGACUUUCUCGCUGGCAACAUAGGACGAGGGUUGCGCUCGUUUACGGACUUAACCGCACACCUCACGGCACGAGCUGACGACAGCCAUGCAACAAGUGUCUUCAUGUCCCCUUGUGAGGGAGGGCCCGAUCUCUCGGGCUUACAAUCGAUGUCAAACCUGGGUAAGGUUCUUCGGUUAGUAUCGAAUUAAUCCACAUGCUCCACCGCUUGUGCGGGUCCCCGUCAAUUCAUUUGAGUUUCAACCUUGCGGCCGUACUCCCCAGGCGGGAUACUUAGUGCGUUAGCUGCGGCACAAGAGGGGUCGAUACGGCAUACAGCUAGUAUUCAUAGUUUACGGCGUGGACUAC
rnacentral:misc_RNA from 1 species